UUAACUCAUAUUUGUAUGGAGUUGGAACGUUUGCCUACGUUUGCCGCUAGAGGCGCUGUUCUAACUCCAUACAAAUUUGCGUUA
rnacentral:pre_miRNA from 1 species